UACGAAGGGGGCUAGCGUUGUUCGGAAUCACUGGGCGUAAAGCGCACGUAGGCGGAUUUGUUAGUCAGGGGUGAAAUCCCGGAGCUCAACUCCGGAACUGCCUUUGAUACUGCAAGUCUCGAGUCCGAUAGAGGUGGGUGGAAUUCCUAGUGUAGAGGUGAAAUUCGUAGAGAUUAGGAAGAACACCGGUGGCGAAGGCGGCCCACUGGAUCGGUACUGACGCUGAGGUGCGAAAGAGUGGGGAGCAAACAGG
rnacentral:rRNA from 1 species